rnacentral:rRNA from 1 species
GGAGUUAGCCGGUGCUUCUUCUGUGAGUGAUGUCCUUCCUGCCGGUUAUUGACCCGCAGGCCUUCUUCCUCACUGAAAGUGCUUUACAACCCGAAGGCCUUCUUCACACACGCGGCAUGGCUGGAUCAGGGUUGCCCCCAUUGUCCAAUAUUCCCCACUGCUGCCUCCCGUAGGAGUCUGGGCCGUGUCUCAGUCCCAGUGUGGCUGAUCAUCCUCUCAGACCAGCUACGGAUCGUCGCCUUGGUGAGCCGUUACCUCACCAACCAGCUAAUCCGACAUAGGCUCAUCCGAUAGCGCGAGGCCCGAAGGUCCCCCGCUUUCCCCCGUAGGGCGUAUGCGGUAUUAGCCUGGGUUUCCCCAGGUUAUCCCCCACUACCGGGGCAGAUUCCUAUGCAUUACUCACCCGUCCGCCGCUCGCCACCAGGGAGCAGCUCCCGUCGCUGCCGCUCGACUUGCAUGUGUUAGGCCUGCCGCCAGCGUUCAAUCUGAGCCAGGAUACAAACCUACUGA